rnacentral:ncRNA from 1 species
GGGCCCGAACUGUUACAGUCCUCCGUUUGUCAUGGCCCGGACCUGACCGAGGAGCUUGCGGUGCAUGCCGUUCGGCUAGGGUCCCGUCUUCCCGGUCGGUCGUCGAAUGCGGUGGACUGCGUGCAGUGCGCCGCGACUGCUGCCGGUCGCGAGGGCGGUGAUUUCGUACUAUGUACNCACGACGUUGGCGGUCAUAUGGCCUCAUCCGACCCGUCUUGAAACACGGACCAAGGAGUCUAACAUGUGUGCGAGUCUUUGAGUGACCGAAACUCCGAGGCGUAAUGAAAGUGAAGGCGACUUCGGUCGCUGAGGUGAGAGCCUUUUUCCAAAAAAAGAAGGCGCAUCAUUGACCGACCUAUUCUACUCUUAGAAAGGUUUGAGUAAGAGCGCAUCUGUUGGGACCCGAAAGAUGGUGAACUAUGCCUGAAUAGGGUGAAGCCAGAGGAAACUCUGGUGGAGGCUCGUAGCGAUUCUGACGUGCAAAUCGAUCGUCAAAUUUGGGUAUAGGGGCGAAAGACUAAUCGAACUGUCUAGUAGCUGGUUCCCUCCGAAGUUUCCCUCAGGAUAGCUGGAACUUACGGCAGUUUUAUUAAGUAAAGCGAAUGAUUAGAGGUCUUAGGGUUAAAACAACCUUAACCUAUUCUCAAACUUUAAAUUGGUAAGAAGUCCGACUUGCUUAAUUGAAGCCGGACAGUGAAUGCGAGUUCCUAGUGAGCCAUUUUUGGUAAGCAGAACUGGCGAUGCGGGAUGAACCGAAGCGCGGUUAAGGUGCCAAAGUCGACGCUCAUCAGACCCCACAAAAGGUGUUGGUUGCUCUAGACAGCAGGACGGUGGCCAUGGAAGUUGGAAUCCGCUAAGGAGUGUUUAACAACUCACCUGCCGAAGCAACUAGCCCUGAAAAUGGAUGGCGCUCAAGCGUCGCACCUAUACCGUGCCGUCGGAGCAGAUGCGAAGCUCCGACGAGUAGGAGGGCGUGGGGGUCGUGACGCAGC